rnacentral:rRNA from 1 species
AACGCUGGCGGCGUGCCUAACACAUGCAAGUCGUACGAGAAAGUUGGCUUCGGCUGAUGAGUAAAGUGGCGCACGGGUGAGUAACGCGUGGAUAAUCUGCCUUUUAGUUGGGAAUAACGUACCGAAAGGUGCGCUAAUACCGGAUAAUACUGCAUAACUACUGUUGUGUAGUCAAAGAAGGCCUCUGUUUACAAGCUUUUGCUGAAAGAUGAGUCCGCGUACCAUUAGCUAGUUGGUAGGGUAAUGGCCUACCAAGGCUACGAUGGUUAGCUGGUCUGAGAGGAUGAUCAGCCACACUGGAACUGAGACACGGUCCAGACUCCUACGGGAGGCAGCAGUGAGGAAUAUUGCGCAAUGGGGGCAACCCUGACGCAGCAACGCCGCGUGAGUGAGGAAGGUUUUCGGACCGUAAAGCUCUGUCGAGUGGGAAGAAAUGUAUUGUGGCUAAUAUCCAUGAUAUUUGACGGUACCGCUAAAGGAAGCACCGGCUAACUCCGUG